GGGACUGGCCCAAUCUGAAGUGCAGCCGAGACGGGGAGCCACAGACCUGGAACGCAUCUGAGAAGCCAUGAGCUAAGCUGGUGCCAUUCAGGAGUCUCCUGAGCUCGGAGGAAGAAGCUGCAUAACCAGCACACUUCCAGAGAGGACCGAGGAAGAGAGCGUCGCUUCAGCUAGGGAUCUGAUUAGUCAUGCCUGGUAGGCUCUGCUGAGCUGGGUGCUCAUGGGUGUUGCUUGUUGAACUGAAUUAAUAUAUUAAUGGAUUUCA
rnacentral:lncRNA from 1 species